UACGGAGGGUGCGAGCGUUGUCCAGAAUCAUUGGGCGUAAAGGGCGCGUAGGUGGCGGGACAAGCGUGCGGUGAAAGCUCGGGGCUCAACCCCGCGUCGGCCGUGCGAACUGUUUUGCUUGAGCACUGUAGAGGCAGGCGGAAUUCCGGGUGUAGCGGUGGAAUGCGUAGAGAUCCGGAAGAACACCGGUGGCGAAGGCGGCCUGCUGGGCAGUAGCUGACACUGAGGCGCGACAGCGUGGGGAGCAAACAGG
rnacentral:rRNA from 1 species